GGGCUCGCUUCGGCAGCACACAUACUGAAAUUGGAAUGAUACAGAGAAGAUUAGCGCGGCCCCUGCGCAAGGAUGACAUGCAAAUUCGUGAAGCGUUUCAUAUUCUU
rnacentral:snRNA from 1 species